rnacentral:rRNA from 3 species
GAUGAACGCUGGCGGCGUGCCUAACACAUGCAAGUCGAGCGGAGACCCCGGAAGUAGAAAUGCGGAAGGGAUCUUAGCGGCGGACGGGUGAGUAACACGUGAGCAAUCUGCCUUCUGCAGGGGAAUAACAUUGUGAAAACAGUGCUAAUACCGCAUGACAUGCGACCGGGGCAUCCCGGAUGCAUCAAAGGAGAAAUCCGGCAGGAGAUGAGCUCGCGUCCGAUUAGCUAGUUGGUGAGGUAAAGGCCCACCAAGGCGACGAUCGGUAGCCGAACUGAGAGGUUGAUCGGCCACAUUGGGACUGAGACACGGCCCAGACUCCUACGGGAGGCAGCAGUGGGGAAUAUUGGGCAAUGGGGGAAACCCUGACCCAGCAACGCCGCGUGAAGGACGAAGGCCUUCGGGUUGUAAACUUCUUUGAUCAGGGACGAAAAAAAUGACGGUACCUGAAGAACAAGCCACGGCUAACUACGUGC